rnacentral:piRNA from 1 species
UAGGUUCUCUCCUUGCCUUCACUCUAGAAA